GAUAUAAACUGAAAAAGUCAUCAACAACAAAGUUGAAUAACUCAUCAAGAUCUAAAAACUUUUAUUUUGAUCAUUUCUUCAUACGACAAAGUGAUAGUAACAUUAUUCACAAAAUUGACAUAUCUCUUAUCUGGUUUUAUAAACUAUAACAUAUAUGUAAAAUUUGUGAAUAAUAUUACUAACAUUUCGUCAGAUGAAGAAAUAACAAAAAUAAAAGUUUUAGAUCUUGAUUAGUUAUUUAACUUUGUUGUUGAUGACUUUUUCAAUUGAAAUC
rnacentral:pre_miRNA from 1 species